AUAGACAUGCAAGUCAAGCGCUUUCUAGCUAAUGUGAGAGCGCGGCGUACAGCUCAGUAACACGUGGCCAACCUGCCCUUGGGACGGGAACGCCCCCGGGAAACUGGGGUUAAUUCCCGAUAGGUGAAGAAGUCUGGAAUGACUCUUCGCUCAAAAGACGUUUAUGUCAUGCUCAUAUUCGUCGCCCAGGGAUGGGGCCGCGACCGAUCAGGUUGUUGGUGAGGCAAUGGCUCACCAAGCCUUUUACCGGUGCGGGCCGUGAGAGCGGGAGCCCGGAGAUGGGCACUGAGACAAAGGCCCAGGCCCCACGGGGCGCAGCAGUCGCGAAAAUUUUGCAAUACACGAAAGUGUGACAGAGCUAUCCCGAGUGCCAUCCGCUGAGGAAGGCUUUUACCCAGUAUAAAUAGCUGGGAGAAUAAGGAGAGGGCAAGUCUGGUGUCAGCCGCCGCGGUAAUACCAGCUCUCCGAGUAGUGUGGACGUUUAUUGGGCCUAAAGCAUCCGUAGCUUGCUAGAUAAGUCCUCUGUUAAAUCCACCGAUUCAAUCGUUGGAUUGCGGGGGAUACUGUUUGGCUAGGGGACGGGAGAGGUCGACGGUAUUUCCGGGGUAGGGGUGAAAUCCUAUAAUCCCGGGAGGACCACCAGUGGCGAAGGCUGUCGACUAGAACGCGCCCGACGGUGAGGGAUGAAAGCUGGGGGAGCGAACCGGAUUAGAUACCCGGGUAGUCCCAGCUGUAAACGAUGCANGCUAGGUGUUUGGGCGGCCACGAGCCGCCCUAGUGCCGCANGGAAGCUGUUAAGCCUGCCGCCUGGGGAGUACGGCCGCAAGGCUGAAACUUAAAGGAAUUGGCGGGGGAGCACCACAAGGGGUGAAGCUUGCGGUUUAAUUGGAUUCAACGCCGGAAAUCACU
rnacentral:rRNA from 1 species